UGAUCUGAAGAAACCCUUUGCCUGAAAGUGCAGAAUCUCCUGUUUUCUGGUGCCACACCCAUGUCUUCCCAUUGCUCUGUUGGCGGCAGAGCAUGAGGUCGGGGAAGGCACCUCUGCUAAAGAACAUCCUCCAAAGUGGGACAGAGACUUUGCCAGAUUAGAAAGCAGAAAAAGAAGACUCGUGAGGACAUGUUCAGUGAGUUAAUGCGCGCCUCUGAGAGCAACAAGAUGGAGCUCAGUGCAUGGAGAAUUGCACUGUCCGACAGCCUGCACAAUGUUCGAGAGGACAGGAGAGCAUGCAGGGAACGUGAGCAUGACACACAGGAUGAGAUGGUGCGGAUUAUGAGGGAGCAAACAGACGUGUUGAGGUUCAAGAAAGGCAGCUGGAUGCUAGAGUCCUGCUGCAGCCUAUGCUGAACCUGCUGCCAUUAUCACCAAGUUCCACAUCCUCCUCUCCCAGACAUCCUAGGAUGCGUGAGGGAAAAUCAGGUAUCCCUUGCAUUCAACUCCAGGGAAGGGUACACCUUUGAUUGCUAUUGCAGUGCAAUUGUAAGCAAGCUGUCCUUGUUUCUCCCCUA